CAAAGACCUCAACUCUCAUCCAGCGAAACAUGCCAAGCAGGGUGGAAAUGCCAACCAGUCUUCCCUCAGUGUGCAUGUAGCCACGUGUUCACCUUCAUCCAGUGUGCACAGGUCAGUGUAGCAUUUUUCAGACUGGGAGGGCAAUUUCACUUCUAGCACGUACUGCUUUAUAGAGUGAAACGUGACUAAUUUUUGCUCCGUUCACUCUAGCAUUUCUUUCACAAUAGUUUCUGGAUCCUCUGCAGAACUUUUCACCAGGGAAUCUCAAGACGCAUGGAAAUGGGAGCCCAAAGAAGUGACUUACCAUGACUACAAAGCCUAUCUGAUGCAUAGCCAGGUCUCUCUGAUGCGUGCCAGAUACGUUCAAUGCUUGAGGGCAGGUCUGCUUCGAGGCAGGCUAGAGGAACGGACUGAUGUGAACCACAUGAAGUUCAAUAUGGACUACUGCAAAGCCGUGCACCUUGGUCAAACUAAUCCUUUACAGUUGCACAUGCUGGGCCUGACUGGCUACUCAGCUCCACUGAAUCAGAUCUGGGGGUCCUGGUGGGCAGGGGGUACCAGCAGCAUGCCCCAGCAGCAACUGAGGCUUGCAGCAUCCUGGGCUGCAAACAGGAGCAUGGCCAGUAGGUGAAGGAAAUGAUUAUUCCCCUUCACUUGGCAUUUGUUAGACUGCAUCUGGAAUAUCAUAUCCAGUUUUGGCCCCCCCGGUACAAGAAGGUCAUUGAUGAACUUGAGCAAAUCCAGUAGAGAGCCAAGACAUUUGGAAGCUGGAGGAUGUGUCCUGCAAGGAGAGGCUGAGGGUACUGGGCUCAUUUAGCAUGGAAAGGAGAACGGGUACAGGAGACCUAGUGUCAGCAUUCAAUACCUGCGAGGUGUUACUGAGAACACAAAGCCAAGCUCUUCACUGGAGUGCAUGGCAGGAGAAAGAGAGACAGUGGUCAUAAACUGAAACAGGGGAGGUUCCAACUGGAUUAUCAAGAAAGGUUUUUUUCCCCUGCAAGGACAAUGAAGCAGUCCAACAGGCUGCCCCCUGAGACGGUGGAAUUUCCAUCCUUGGAGGUUUUUAUGACCUGACUGGACAAAGUCCUGAGCAACCUAGUCUGCACUCAGUGUUGACCCUGCUGUGAGCAAGAGGUUGGACUAGAGACUUCCCAAAGUCUCUUCCAACCUGAAUGGCUCUAUGAUCAAGAAGCAUUCCUCUUAAAUCCCCUUAUCUCACAGAAGAUGAGGUUUAAUUAAAGGAUAGUAAAAUACUUUGAAAGAGUAUUACAUGAAAUACAGGUGAUUGUCAUGUAGUUCAGGUUGGCUGGGUUUUAAUUUUGAGGGUGUGAGUUUAGAAGAGCGUUGACAUAAAUACUAAAACAAACAUUCCAGCAUAGUCAGCAUUUUUCAACUACCAUAUUACCAGAGAAAAUGCUUAUAACAAAGUUUUUUUUAAACAAGAUGAAUUAAUCCUUACUGUAGAAGAAGCUGAAUUUCCUCAAUAUCAAUGUCUUUCUCCCAUUUUUGUCAGAAUUAAAACCAACCACUCAAGAGGUUACAUUUGAAAUAUUAUUUUAGGGUACAGCUUUUCCUUGGAGACUUGAUGCAGUCACAUAGAAUGUUUAGAAAGAAGGGUUUUGCCUUUUUUU
ensembl:lncRNA